rnacentral:lncRNA from 1 species
AUUCAUGACUUUUAUGCGCAUAGUUAUUUAACUAUGCGUAAUAUUAAAGUUGACCACAAAGUCAUCAACAUAAAACAUUAAAAUAUAACAAAUUAUUUAACUAUGCGCAUCUCAAAUUUGCGAACAAUGCGCUAAAUUCAAAUUUGCGCAUCCAAAUUUGCAAACAAUGCGCUAAAUUCAAAUUUGCAAACUAUGCGCAC